UGCCUAACACAUGCAAGUCGAACGGCAGCACAGCAGAGCUUGCUCUGUGGGUGGCGAGUGGCGGACGGGUGAGUAAUGCAUCGGGACCUACCCAGACGUGGGGGAUAACCUCGGGAAACCGGGACUAAUACCGCAUACGUCCUCCGGGAGAAAGCGGGGGAUCUUCGGACCUCGCGCUAUUGGGGUGGCCGAUGGCGGAUUAGGUAGUUGGUGGGGUAAAGGCCUACCAAGCCGACGAUCCGUAGCUGGUCUGAGAGGACGACCAGCCACACUGGGACUGAGACACGGCCCAGACUCCUACGGGAGGCAGCAGUGGGGAAUUUUGGACAAUGGGGGCAACCCUGAUCCAGCAAUGCCGCGUGUGUGAAGAAGGCCUUCGGGUUGUAAAGCUC
rnacentral:rRNA from 1 species